GAUGAACGCUAGCUACAGGCUUAACACAUGCAAGUCGAGGGGGAAACGACAUCGAAAGCUUGCUUUUGGUGGGCGUCGACCGGCGCACGGGUGAGUAACGCGUAUCCAACCUGCCCACCACUUGGGGAUAACCUUGCGAAAGUAAGACUAAUACCCAAUGAUAUCCCACGAAGGCAUCCGAAUGGGAUUAAAGAUUUAUCGGUGAUGGAUGGGGAUGCGUCUGAUUAGCUUGUUGGCGGGGUAACGGCCCACCAAGGCGACGAUCAGUAGGGGUUCUGAGAGGAAGGUCCCCCACAUUGGAACUGAGACACGGUCCAAACUCCUACGGGAGGCAGCAGUGAGGAAUAUUGGUCAAUGGGCGAGAGCCUGAACCAGCCAAGUAGCGUGCAGGACGACGGCCCUAUGGGUUGUAAACUGCUUUUAUAAGGGAAUAAAGUGGGUCACGUGUGACUUUUUGCAUGUACCUUAUGAAUAAGGACCGGCUAAUUCCGUG
rnacentral:rRNA from 1 species